rnacentral:rRNA from 1 species
UACGGGGGGGCAAGGCGUUGUUCGGAAUUACUGGGCGUAAAGGGCGCGUAGGCGGUUGCUAAGUUGGACGUGAAACUCUGGGCUUAACCCAGAGCCUGCAUCCAAAACUGGCAAGCUGGAGUAUUGGAGGGGAAGCGGAAUUCCUGGUGUAGCAGUGAAAUGCGUAGAUAUCAGGAGGAACACCGGUGGCGAAGGCGGCUUCCUGGACAAUAACUGACGCUGGAGGCGACGAAAGCUAGGGGAGCAAACAGG